rnacentral:rRNA from 1 species
UACGUAGGGUGCGAGCGUUGUCCGGAAUUAUUGGGCGUAAAGGGCUCGUAGGCGGUCUGUCGCGUCGGGAGUGAAAACUCAGGGCUCAACCCUGAGCCUGCUUCCGAUACGGGCAGACUAGAGGUAUGCAGGGGAGAACGGAAUUCCUGGUGUAGCGGUGGAAUGCGCAGAUAUCAGGAGGAACACCGGUGGCGAAGGCGGUUCUCUGGGCAUUACCUGACGCUGAGGAGCGAAAGUGUGGGGAGCGAACAGG